GCUUGAGAAGCUCAAUUGGUCGAGCGGAACAUUGAAGCUGUUUAGGUUGUAAGUUCAAAUCUUACCUUGAGCA
rfam:Triticum urartu cultivar G1812 contig1454701, whole genome shotgun sequence.